rnacentral:lncRNA from 1 species
CCUAACAUCAAUUUCACCGCAUUUACCCCCUUCCUAAUCUCCUUUGUCACCAAAACCUUCAAAGUAAAUUGAUAGCUAAGUACAUUUAUCUUUCUUGAUUUUAUGUCAGAAUUAAAAUAUUAGUUUGCCUCUAAUUACUAUGAUCAUCCCCUCACAAAAGAAUUAAUGUAAGAGAAUUUUUGAAAUAAUAAAAUUAAUUAUGC